rnacentral:siRNA from 1 species
GGAAAGUCCUUGUGUUGCAUCCCU